rnacentral:rRNA from 1 species
AACGAACGCUGGCGGCAUGCCUAACACAUGCAAGUCGAACGAGACCUUCGGGUCUAGUGGCGCACGGGUGCGUAACGCGUGGUAACCUGCCCUUAGGUUCGGAAUAACUCCCCGAAAGGGGUGCUAAUACCGGAUAAUGUCUUCGGACCAAAGAUUUAUCGCCUUUGGAUGAGCCCGCGUUGGAUUAGCUAGUUGGUAGGGUAAAAGCCUACCAAGGCGACGAUCCAUAGCUGGUCUGAGAGGAUGAUCAGCCACACUGGGACUGAGACACGGCCCAGACUCCUACGGGAGGCAGCAGUGGGGAAUAUUGGACAAUGGGCGAAAGCCUGAUCCAGCAAUGCCGCGUGAGUGAUGAAGGCCUUAGGGUUGUAAAGCUCUUUUACCCGGGAUGAUAAUGACAGUACCGGGAGAAUAAGCUCCGGCUAACUCCGUG